ensembl:miRNA Gm27317 predicted gene, 27317
GGCAUGUGUGAGUUGGCUGACUGUACUCCAAAGUGGGGCUUCGACAUAAAGAUUUAAGCAUUUCCGAGUUAAAUGAUACCAGCUACCACAGUGUA